CUACAGGUUGCUCCAGUGAGGAAUAUUGCACAAUGGGGGGAACCCUGAUGCAGCAACGCCGCGUGGAGGAUGACGCAUUUCGGUGUGUAAACUCCUUUUAUAUGUCAAGAAAAUGACGGUAGCAUAUGAAUAAGCACCGGCUAACUCCGUGCCAGCAGCCGCGGUAAUACGGAGGGUGCAAGCGUUACUCGGAAUCACUGGGCGUAAAGGACGCGUAGGCGGGUUGGAAAGUCAGGUGUGAAAUCCUACAGCUUAACUGUAGAACUGCACUUGAAACUUCUAAUCUAGAGUAUGGGAGGGGGUGAUGGAAUUAGUGGUGUAGGGGUAAAAUCCGUAGAUAUCACUAGGAAUACCUAAAGCGGAGGCGAUCUCCUGGAACAUUACUGACGCUAAGGCGUGAAAGCGUGGGGAGCAAACAGGAUUAGAUACCCUUGUAGUC
rnacentral:rRNA from 1 species